UACGUAGGGUGCGAGCGUUGUCCGGAAUUACUGGGCGUAAAGAGCUCGUAGGUGGUUUGUCGCGUUGUCCGUGAAAACUCACAACUCAAUUGUGGGCGUGCGGGCGAUACGGGCAGACUGGAGUACUGCAGGGGAGACUGGAAUUCCUGGUGUAGCGGUGAAAUGCGCAGAUAUCAGGAGGAACACCGGUGGCGAAGGCGGGUCUCUGGGCCGAUACUGACGCUGAGGCACGAAAGCGUGGGGAGCAAACAGG
rnacentral:rRNA from 1 species